rnacentral:rRNA from 1 species
GACGAACGCUGGCGGCGUGCUUAACACAUGCAAGUCGAACGGAAAGGCCCUGCUUUUGUGGGGUGCUCGAGUGGCGAACGGGUGAGUAACACGUGAGUAACCUGCCCUUGACUUUGGGAUAACUUCAGGAAACUGGGGCUAAUACCGGAUAGGAGCUCCUGCUGCAUGGUGGGGGUUGGAAAGUUUCGGCGGUUGGGGAUGGACUCGCGGCUUAUCAGCUUGUUGGUGGGGUAGUGGCUUACCAAGGCUUUGACGGGUAGCCGGCCUGAGAGGGUGACCGGCCACAUUGGGACUGAGAUACGGCCCAGACUCCUACGGGAGGCAGCAGUGGGGAAUAUUGCACAAUGGGCGGAAGCCUGAUGCAGCAACGCCGCGUGCGGGAGGGCGGCCUCGGGUUGUAAACCGCUUUCGCCUGUGACGAAGCGUGAGUGACGGUAAUGGGUAAAGAAGCACCGGCUAACUACGUG